rnacentral:rRNA from 1 species
GAUGAACGCUGGCGGCGUGCCUAAUACAUGCAAGUCGAACGGAGACUGUAGCAAUACGGUCUUAGUGGCGAACGGGUGAGUAACGCGUUGGUGACCUGCCCCGAAGCGAGGGAUAACAGUUCGAAAGGACUGCUAAUACCCCAUGUGGUCUUCGAGAUUAGAUGCUUGAUGACUAAAGGAGCAAUCCACUUCGGGAGGGGCCUGCGUCCCAUCAGCUAGUUGGUAGGGUAAUGGCCUACCAAGGCAUUGACGGGUAGGGGACCUGAGAGGGUGACCCCCCACACUGGCACUGAAACACGGGCCAGACACCUACGGGUGGCAGCAGUAGGGAAUAUUGCAUAAUGGGCGAAAGCCUGAUGCAGCAACGCCGCGUGCGCGAUGAAGGCCUUGGGUCGUAAAGCGCUUUUCAGAGGGAAGAGGAAGGACGGUACCUCUGGAAUAAGUCUCGGCUAACUACGUG